UACGGGGGGGGCAAGCGUUGUUCGGAAUUACUGGGCGUAAAGGGCUCGUAGGCGGCCAACUAAGUCGGAUGUGAAAUCCCCAGGCUUAACCUGGGAACUGCAUCCGAUACUGGAUGGCUUGAAUCCGGGAGAGGGAUGCGGAAUUCCAGGUGUAGCGGUGAAAUGCGUAGAGAUGUGGAGGAACACCAGUGGCGAAGGCGACUCUCUGGUCUGUAACCGACGCUGAGGCGCGAAAGCGUGGGGAGCAAACAGG
rnacentral:rRNA from 1 species